GGUACAGUGACCAGCACAAUUUGGAAUACAUCUCAAGGAGCUCCAAGACCUGACACGAUUACUAAUGCUGUUGUUUGCUUACAGACAGGAGCAGUCCUCUGAGAGGCACAACAAGCAGCUGACCAAGACAGAAGCAGAAACUUUCACUCAUCCAAUGGAGAGAAGCUGGUUAACCCUGUGGUUGAAUUAGUGAAAGGCUGGAGAAUUUGUGGAGGAAGGUGAUUUCACGGAAAAAAACCUACAAUCUCAACUAACCUGGACCCCUGCAAUCUCUCAGAUUCUGAACCACCAUCCAAGCAGCAUGCACUAGCAGACAGGAGCAGUCCUCUGAGAGGCACAACAAGCAGCUGACCAAGACAGAAGCAGAAACUUUCACUCAUCCAAUGGAGAGAAGCUGGUUAACCCUGUGGUUGAAUUAGUGAAAGGCUGGAGAAUUUGUGGCGGAAGGUGAUUUCACUGAAAAAACCUGCAAUCUCAACUAACCUGGACACCUGCAAUCUCUCAGAUUCUGAACCGCCAUCCAAGCAGCAUGCACUAGCA
rnacentral:lncRNA from 1 species